rnacentral:rRNA from 1 species
UACGGGGGGGGCAAGCGUUGUUCGGAAUUACUGGGCGUAAAGGGCUCGUAGGCGGCCAACUAAGUCCGACGUGAAAUCCCCAGGCUCAACCUGGGAACUGCGUCGGAUACUGGAUGGCUUGAAUUCGGGAGAGGGAUGCAGAAUUCCAGGUGUAGCGGUGAAAUGCGUAGAUAUCUGGAGGAACACCGGUGGCGAAGGCGGCAUCCUGGACCAACACUGACGCUGAGGAGCGAAAGCCAGGGGAGCAAACGGG